GUAGGGUCCAAGCGUUAAUCGGAAUUACUGGGCGUAAAGCGUGCGCAGGCGGUUGUGCAAGACCGAUGUGAAAUCCCCGGGCUUAACCUGGGAAUUGCAUUGGUGACUGCACGGCUAGAGUGUGUCAGAGGGGGGUAGAAUUCCACGUGUAGCAGUGAAAUGCGUAGAGAUGUGGAGGAAUACCGAUGGCGAAGGCAGCCCCCUGGGAUAACACUGACGCUCAUGCACGAAAGCGUGGGGGGAGCAAACAGGAUUAGAUACCCUGGUAGUCCACGCCCCUAAACCGAUGUCAACUAGUUGUUGGGGAUUCAUUUCCUUAGUAACGUAGCUAACGCGUGAAGUUGACCGCCUGGGAGUACGGUCGCAAGAUUA
rnacentral:rRNA from 1 species